GACGAACGCUGGCGGCGUGCUUAACACAUGCAAGUCGAACGGAAAGGCCCUGCUUUUGUGGGGUGCUCGAGUGGCGAACGGGUGAGUAACACGUGAGUAACCUGCAAUUGACUUUGGGAUAACUUCAGGAAACUGGGGCUAAUACCGGAUAGGAGCUCCUGCUGCAUGGUGGGGGUUGGAAAGUUUCGGUGGUUGGGGAUGGACUCGCGGCUUAUCAGCUUGUUGGUGGGGUAGUGGCUUACCAAGGCUUUGACGGGUAGCCGGCCCGAGAGGGUGACCGGCCACAUUGGGACUGAGAUACGGCCCAGACUCCUACGGGAGGCAGAAGUGGGGAAGAUUGCACAAUGGGCGGAAGCCUGAUGCAGCAACGCCGCGUGCGGGAUGACAGCCUUCGGGUUGUAAACCGCUUUCGCCUGUGACGAAGCGUGAGUGACGGUAAUGGGUAAAGAAGCACCGGCUAACUACGUG
rnacentral:rRNA from 1 species